AACGAACGCUGGCGGCAGGUUUAACACAUGCAAGUCGAGCGCCCCGCAAGGGGAGCGGCAGACGGGUGAGUAACGCGUGGGAAUCUACCCAUCUCUACGGAAUAACGCAUGGAAACGUGUGCUAAUACCGUAUACGUCCUUCGGGAGAAAGAUUUAUCGGAGAUGGAUGAGCCCGCGUUGGAUUAGCUAGUUGGUGGGGUAAAGGCCUACCAAGGCGACGAUCCAUAGCUGGUCUGAGAGGAUGAGCAGCCACACUGGGACUGAGACACGGCCCAGACUCCUACGGGAGGCAGCAGUGGGGAAUAUUGGACAAUGGGCGCAAGCCUGAUCCAGCCAUGCCGCGUGAGUGAUGAAGGCCCUAGGGUUGUAAAGCUCUUUCACCGGUGAAGAUAAUGACGGUAACCGGAGAAGAAGCCCCGGCUAACCUCGUGCCAGCAGCCGCAGUAACAC
rnacentral:rRNA from 1 species